rnacentral:rRNA from 1 species
AUUGAACGCUGGCGGCAGGCUUAACACAUGCAAGUCGAGCGGGGGAGGUUGCUUCGGUAACUGACCUAGCGGCGGACGGGUGAGUAAUGCUUAGGAAUCUGCCUAUUAGUGGGGGAUAACAUUCCGAAAGGGAUGCUAAUACCGCAUACGCCCUACGGGGGAAAGCAGGGGAUCUUCGGACCUUGCGCUAAUAGAUGAGCCUAAGUCGGAUUAGCUAGUUGGUGGGGUAAAGGCCUACCAAGGCGACGAUCUGUAGCGGGUCUGAGAGGAUGAGCCGCCACACUGGGACUGAGAGACGGCCCAGACUCCUACGGGAGGCAGCAGUGGGGAAUGUUGGACAAUGGGCGGAAGCCUGGUCCAGCCAUGCCGCGUGUGUGAAGAAGGCCUUUUGGUUGUAAAGCACUUUAAGCGAGGAGGAGGCUCUUAAGGUUAAUACCCUUGAUGAGUGGACGUUACUCGCAGAAUAAGCACCGGCUAACUCUGUGCCAGCAGCCGCCGUAACAC